UAUUACAAAUUUUAUUCAUUUUUAUUGUUAAAAAUUGAAAUAGUUGGUAGAUUAAUACCGUUACACAUGAUGUAUCAUGUGUAUCUCAUUAUGAUUUAUAGGGAUUGAUUUUUAGUAGUAGAAAUGAAUGAAAUUUUUAAAA
rnacentral:pre_miRNA from 1 species